CCAAAGAAAUUCAGUUUAGCACAGAAACUGAAAACAUCAACAUGUCAGCUAACAGACAUAUAAUGUUAAAGCAGUGGUCAAUUUAGUAGUCAGUAUAUUUUUGUUGUUUUAUAACAUUCUGAAAAUGAAAUGAUGGGCCCUACAAGAUACCAAGGCCAAUAACUGGCCCCCGACCCAACUUUGAACAUCUAUAUCAGAACGAAGGACACAUUAUAUCAAUACUGUGACUACAACGAGGUACUUAGUGCGGUUGAAUAAAUCACCAGUGUAAGUUGAACAGAAUAAAACAAAGUUUUCUUGCUGAAAAUAACAAAACUAUUUCUCUUUUCUUUAGCUAUUAACCUUUGAGUUGAAGACUUCUGCCUUUGGACCUUUUGACAGCGCUCUGGUUAAAGUGUCCGCGGUGAUGGAUGUGUUGUUCUGCUGCAGCCAUUCCUCACAGGUGAAUGAAAUAUUUAAGCCAGACAUUUGCAAGAUAAACUGCUGUUGUCCUAUUUUAAUAUGUCACCGGCCGCCUCUCUCUGUCUCUGUCUCUGUCUCUCUCUCUCUCUCUCUCUGCUCAGAGCUGAUGAAUAAUAUAACAGUGUGUGCUGGUCUGGGUGUGUAUUGUAUAUGUGUGUUGGCGUGGGCUCAUGUGUGCAGGGAUGAGCAAAAAAUGUUAUAACAGAGCACUUUGAAUUCUAAUCUCUAAAGUCUAACUGAAUUCACUCACCAUUGAUUAUAGAUUUAUGGCAUUGUUGGGAAGUGUUCUAACUUUUGUGGAAAUCAGCUAGCCAAUCAUUCUAGAGAUGUUGGUCGUCGUAAAAUUAUUUCAACAUCCCAGAGAGGAAAGAACUGAAUCUCUGGACAGGUGAUGGAAGGAGAAUCGGUACCGUGAGGAAAGUAUGACCAGUGCAGGUCCAUUCAUGCACAGUAACAGGAGAUGCGGAUACGCCUCGCUGUCAUCUAUAUCGGAGUAAACGUUACAUCAAAUGCACAUAAUGCACCAAUAAGAGGAGGAGAUACAUUUAUGCUGCAGGAAAUGGAUUACUACAUCCUGGGUGUUGUGAGAGGAGAGAGAUAACGGUGCCGUCAGCUGCAGCGCUUCAGACAUGUUCUGUUCCCAGAUAUCCAGUCAUCUUCACUUUUCAUCCUCCCUUAAACAGAUAGCUCGGCAGUAAAAACUAAAUAAAUAAAGCAGCUCAGCACGGCUGCUUGACCAGCGCUGCAAAUGCUUGAGAGGAAAUACUGGAUAACCAUAAAAGCUGAAGCGAGGACUUAAUAUCACGUACUGACUGUAAAGUUGGGCUUUAUGCACACGAGUCCAACUUUCAAUCCCUGGCCAUCUGUCGAGGUAUUUGCCUCUUAGGGAAAACUGUCAUUUUAGCUUUUUUCUCCUGCAGCGUCAAAACACCUGCCACAGAAAAAGACGCAGAGUCAUGAUGAGGACUGUCAUCAAUGUCUCCACUGAUGACAUCAAAGAAGGAGAGGUUACUGUUUUGAACUUCAAAGUUCAGGACUUUAAUUUGAGAUUAUAAAUACUUUCAUCAGCCCACCAUUGAAGGGAAAUUCACAUUCAGCACAGCAGCUGUGGACCACAGUGACCUCUGGUCUGAACGGAUCAAUGAUGUCCUGCAGGUGACUCCAAGAAGGUAGAAUCAGACGGAUGGAGACAUGAAUCAAACCAGUAACAGAAUUAACCUGGAAGAACUGGUGUCUCCUCUGGCUUUCACAACGUUCCGCCACUGUCAGGAAUUCAUGACAACUGGAAAAUUCAAUCAACUUGUGGACCAAGGACCAGCAGACUGAAAGCCCUGCCUCUGUCAGUGACAUUUCCAGACCUGAACCUUACUGCAGACUUCAGAAAUGUGAUCAAGAGGAAGAGUGAUGAUGAGUAGGAUCCAUUUAAAAAGGAGGAGUUUUUCACACCAGAGGUCGAACGACAUCAACCAACAGAAGGAGUUUACGGAAAAUCACCGGCAAGGACAGCGUUUUUUCACCAAAUGUAAAUAUCUGUUUGCUUAUUGAAAGUACUGCAACGAAUAUUCAAGUAUAUCUAUAAAAUGAGUGUCAUCAGACGCCACUCCAUUGCAUACACACACUCAAAUCCAUACUACAGUGUCCAAUUAAACUAUUUGUUAGUAAUAGCGAGAGAGACUGCGGCAACCCCUUCCACUCCCCAAAAACACAUAGGUAACCAUGGUAACUCCAAACAGAACUUUUCCCACAUGAAAUAUCCAUCCAUCCAUUUUUAUCCACUUAUCCGUUACCAGGUCGUGGGGCUACAUGAAAGAUCAGAUUUUUUUAUUAAUUGUAGUGUACUGCUAGAGGGAGCUGUUGGGAAACAAAUGGUCCUAUUCCAUUGGGUGUGAUUAGUCGGUAUUUUCAUUGUAGGCUGAAAAUACCUCGCUUACAAAAGUCCAAAGUCCAACAAAUGCCCUCAGCUAUCGGGGUCCAUCUCUAUUCUCCUGUUUGGCUCUGACCAUGUGACACACCCAGGCGGCCAGCCCUAAGUCAAAACCGAGCUGCAGCCGAAGCAAAUGUUGCAUGUCUAAAUGUGGUUACUGCUGCUGGCUCUGCUGCCGACACAGGUUCCCCCAGGCCCAGUCCUGCCCCCGUACACAGCAGCCUCUAAACUUCCAGUUAAUUACCUGGCCGAGCAAACUAAUUUCCACUCUGCUCAGUGAGCCCAUCCCCACCGGCGUGGAAUAAGAGGAUGAAGAUUGUUCUCCAUGCCACAGAUUUUUAUGUCUGCAGGAUGAAGGGGACCACUGUACAACAUUUGUCAUUUUCCUCUGGGGUUUGGGUGGAGUGACACUCAUGCAUACCAUAGACUGUAAAUAAAUGAUGGAUGUUCUCUGCAGCGUCUAUUGCACAUCCAUGUGUCCUGGAGGAAGGAUUUUUCCAUGUUGUUAUUCAGUUGGAGAGUGUGAAGAACUGUUCUGCCUGAUCAGUGUUCUGGUCUUGACAAACAUCUGUGCCCACCAAGGGGCCAUGCCCCACACUUUGAGAAAGGCUGCAGUAUUGUGCAAGAUGCACACAACACAGAGGCAUUGUGGGACUUUAUCAAGCGGCAGCGGCUGGAUUAAAAGUGACAAUGACAUACACCAGAGGCUGAUAAACAAAAAGCUAAUCAUGCGCUCCUUGGUUAAUGGCUGCCCCGAUGACCCAUGUGCAACAAUGUUUGGGAUAAUUGAUCUCAAGUGUGAUUAGAAAUUCAAACAUUAGAAAAACACACUCAGACGUGACAGUUUCUCCCAGGUGGAGCCGAGACCAAUCCUGUGUGUGAAGCUACCUCAGCUCCAUAUUUGGGGAUUUUAAUCUUCUCUCAUCUCAUUUCUGAUAAAACCUCGGCAUCACGUGACUCAUUCAGUCACUCUUCACAACACUGAGCCUCAGGUUCAAACAGUAAUGAGUGAAUUCAGAUGAGACUGCCUGGAAAUAAUUCAGUUCAAAUUGAGUUAGAGCAGCCUGUCACUCACUGCCAUCCUUUCAUGCCAGGCAGCUGUGACCAACAUGAGAGUUUUAUGGUGCUGUUCAGACUGGAAGACUCCACAUUUUGUCAACCCAGCCACUUUACACCCAGUGCCUUGACAGAUGAGCGAGGAAGAGGAUGGAGCGGAGUAAGAGGUUGAGGUGAAGAUGUAUUGAAGAAUGAAAGAAAGAUGGGGGAGGGUUGAAAAAGGCCCAUCAACCACUCCAACACUCAUUCAACCUUCUGCCCAGCCUGGCACUAGCACGUCAUCCUGCCUUCCUUGGGGGGCGGGGGGUUUGUCAUCAGAGCUUUCUUCCUUUCUGACAGCUGCUGGUUCUCACUGGCAGCCAAUUAGGAAAGAAAGAGAUGUUAAAACAGAGAAAGAGGAGGAGGAGAGGGAGAAGAGCAGGGAGAUCAGCUUCCUCAGUGGCAGCGGGAGAGGAAGAACAUUAUCUUUGGCCAAAGCCUCAGUGAUGAUUUCCUGUUGCACUGACAAGCGCCAGCUCUUCACAACAACCACUUCAGGAGCUGGACCCUGUGCACUGAGGCGACGGUUGUCAACAUGAACAGAAUCAGUGACACCACGUGAUGAUCUUUGCUAAUUGAAUCUGAUAGACUUCAAGUCCAAGUCCGGGCUGGUGGUCUGUGGAAACAUGCUGCUGGAUUUACUUCACCGCCGGGGAAAUAAAUAGAAGUGAAGCACAAGUUCACCAAAUAGUUCCUCCAAAGUUCCUGCAGCACAGAACUGAAUCACCACGAAACUGACUACGAGCAGCACUUGUCACCGUUGAACCGCCAGUGUGACAGUUUGUGUUUUGAUACAAGCAGAAAGUGUGGAAUAUGAAUAUGCCACUGUCUUGACCUGUGAUGGACAGUAGAACUGACACACGUCAGGUCAAGUGGGAUUGACCCCAGCUCUGCCUGUGACCUUUGACACAAGCAAAAGAAGAUGAAUGAAUGGAUGGGUGAAUGAAUAAAUGGGUAAAUGGAUGAAUGAGUGAAUGGAUAAAUGGAAGGAUGGAUGAGUGAAUGUAGUUUUGGUUCUAUGUCUCUUUCGCGUCAUUUCAUUACAUGAGAUGAUUUGAAACCAAAUUUUGUGUCACAUCACAAGCUAUUUUUUCAUUUGUAAAAGAAAAUACUCCACGGACAUUGACGUCCCUCCUCCUCCUCCUCCUAACAAAUCACACGGCCAGAUUAUGACAUUUAAAGCUGCACACUCACAGUCUUUAAUCCCUUAUGUGUUGACUGAGGUGUGAUAGGUCACACACACUAAAACAUCUAUCACCAGGAGGCGCCGCAGAAUAUUAUGGUCUAGUCUCCCAACCGUGAAAACAUAUGUGAAUGACACGGUUAAUGGUCCGUGCAAAUCGACUUAAUUUACCUUGAUUUAUAUCUGGUGCUGUGAUCGGUGCCGGGCCUUUCUCUUCCCUCUCUGUCUCAGACAGGAUUACUUUUCCUCUUUUCCUGUUUGUGUUUCUUAUCACAUUAUUUUUAUAAUCUCCCCAGAGUCUGUCAUGGACUGAGGAAAGGACUCUCUCUGCCUCACAGAUUAGGACCAAGUUAGUGUGUGAUAUGAGAAUCAGUCAAAACGUCCUUAGACAGAUGUGUUGAUUUCUACUGUUAUUAUGUCAAGUGUUGAACUGUUUUAACCAAACCUGAAUGGAAACCUGUUCCGGUGAACAUCAACAGGUUUGGAUCUAGAACCAUCUGACCAGCCUCGUUCUUUUGAGUUCAGCGGACUGGAAGAAAGUCCAGGUCCACUUGUUUUAUCACCAGGAUAAGGACAUUACAUGGUCUAAACCACUGGUUCCUAAACCUUUCUAAGCCAAGGGCCCCCUAACAGCAUUAGCUUCUGACUGGAGACCCCUUUUCAAAUCCACAGAUAAUGCUACAAAAAUCUAUGUUCUGACUUUUAUGCACAAUUCAAUAAUUAAUACAUUUUUAGCAUAAGAACAUUAUUAAUGAAUUACUAAUACACAGUUUUCUAAGGCCCUCCUAGCGCCACCCGGUGCCCCCCACUUCAGAAGCCUCUGGUCUACAUCGACAUGUGAUGGGACAGACUUCUUAGACCUGUGUUCUUUUUGGUCUAUGACACUUCCAUUAUUCCCCACUAGAAGGUGUCAGAUACAUGUGGUCCAGAUGUUCAAAGCUAAAGAACUGAGCUUGUUGUUAGCUUUCGAUUUGGACAUACAUUAAAAUGCAUUCAUUUGCAUAAAAUAAAUGGAUUACGUUCCCCUUUAAGGAACGUUGUUGUGUUUCUUCAGGUUCUUUAUGUGUGCCGCUGUUUGAUAAUACAAGGGCACUGGUUUUCCCACACACAGCUGUCCGUCUUUCCCCAGUGACUCUUCAUUUUCCCAGUGAUCAUCUGAGCAGCUUAAGCUAAUAAGCAGAACUUGUGAUUGGUAAAGCAGAAAACAAGAUUAACUCUCGUCUUUUUUUCCCCCUUCUUUACCCUCAGCAGUGGACGGAUCUCACGGGUUUAGAGGGAGUUGAGAGCCUGAGGCUGAAUCACGAGAAGAACAUGGUUCUGUUUACACAGAUCAAUGCAGGGCCAUGUUUGAUAUUGCAAUCUAUUAUUAUGAACCAUCAGAAUAAACAGGAACUACCUCCAGGACUGAGGGACUGAACCGGAACAUCUGUGAGUUUGGACCAUAGGGGGCAGCAGUUAAAAGAUGCUCCUAUGAUGUGGUGACAGAUCCUCUCCAGUUGGCCUUCGCUGCCCAUCUCUCACCGGGCUGCCAAACU